rnacentral:rRNA from 1 species
UUGACGGAGAGUUUGAUCCUGGCUCAGGACGAACGCUGGCGGCGUGCUUAACACAUGCAAGUCGAACGAUGAUGCCCAGCUUGCUGGGCGGAUUAGUGGCGAACGGGUGAGUAAUACGUGAGUAACCUGCCCUUGACUCUGGGAUAAGCCUGGGAAACUGGGUCUAAUACUGGAUACUACCUCUUACCGCAUGGUGGGUGGUGGAAAGGGUUUUACUGGUUUUGGAUGGGCUCACGGCCUAUCAGCUUGUUGGUGGGGUAAUGGCUCACCAAGGCGACGACGGGUAGCCGGCCUGAGAGGGUGACCGGCCACACUGGGACUGAGACACGGCCCAGACUCCUACGGGAGGCAGCAGUGGGGAAUAUUGCACAAUGGGCGGAAGCCUGAUGCAGCGACGCCGCGUGAGGGAUGACGGCCUUCGGGUUGUAAACCUCUUUCAGUAGGGAAGAAGCGAGAGUGACGGUACCUGCAGAAGAAGCGCCGGCUAACUACGUGCCAGCAGCCGCGGUAAUACGUAGGGCGCAAGCGUUGUCCGGAAUUAUUGGGCGUAAAGAGCUCGUAGGCGGUUUGUCGCGUCUGCUGUGAAAGCCCGGGGCUCAACCCCGGGUCUGCAGUGGGUACGGGCAGACUAGAGUGCAGUAGGGGAGACUGGAAUUCCUGGUGUAGCGGUGAAAUGCGCAGAUAUCAGGAGGAACACCGAUGGCGAAGGCAGGUCUCUGGGCUGUUACUGACGCUGAGGAGCGAAAGCAUGGGGAGCGAACAGGAUUAGAUACCCUGGUAGUCCAUGCCGUAAACGUUGGGCACUAGGUGUGGGGGACAUUCCACGUUUUCCGCGCCGUAGCUAACGCAUUAAGUGCCCCGCCUGGGGAGUACGGCCGCAAGGCUAAAACUCAAAGGAAUUGACGGGGGCCCGCACAAGCGGCGGAGCAUGCGGAUUAAUUCGAUGCAACGCGAAGAACCUUACCAAGGCUUGACAUUCACCGGACCGCCCCAGAGAUGGGGUUUCCCUUCGGGGCUGGUGGACAGGUGGUGCAUGGUUGUCGUCAGCUCGUGUCGUGAGAUGUUGGGUUAAGUCCCGCAACGAGCGCAACCCUCGUUCUAUGUUGCCAGCACGUGAUGGUGGGGACUCAUAGGAGACUGCCGGGGUCAACUCGGAGGAAGGUGGGGAUGACGUCAAAUCAUCAUGCCCCUUAUGUCUUGGGCUUCACGCAUGCUACAAUGGCCGGUACAAAGGGUUGCGAUACUGUGAGGUGGAGCUAAUCCCAAAAAGCCGGUCUCAGUUCGGAUUGAGGUCUGCAACUCGACCUCAUGAAGUCGGAGUCGCUAGUAAUCGCAGAUCAGCAACGCUGCGGUGAAUACGUUCCCGGGCCUUGUACACACCGCCCGUCAAGUCACGAAAGUUGGUAACACCCGAAGCCGGUGGCCUAACCCCUUGUGGGAGGGAGCCGUCGAAGGUGGGACUGGCGAUUGGGACUAAGUCGUAACAAGGUAGCCGUACCGGAAGGUGCGGCUGGAUCACCUCCUUU